UGGGAGGAAGUCUGGACGGAGGCACAUCGAGUUACAAACUCAAAUACGUGGCGGGAAUAUAAAUGGAAAAUUAUUAGCAGAUAUUUCAGGACCCCAGAUGUAGUUUCCAAGAUGGAUCCUAAAGUACCAAGCUUGUGUUGGAGAAACUGUGGCUCAGCGGUCCCCAAUCUUACACACAUUUUUUGGUCAUGCCCCAAACUUCAAAACUUUUGGGAUGAGGUGGAUGCAGUUGGAGCCACCUUCCUAUGACUUAUGGAUUCAAAAAGUAAGGGAAUUGUAUAAAAUGGAACAGAUAACCUACUCAUUAAGACUUCAAAAAACCACUUUUAGCCAGCAGGGGGCCAGCAGAAGCUCUGUUUAUGUAAAUAAGCCUAACAAGUUUGUCUCUUGGCAUAUGGUGUUUAGCUAUCCUGCCCAAAUUGUAUCCUUAUUUUAAUGUUGUAUGGUGAGGAGUCUACAAAUGUGAUGCUGAGGUUGUAAGAUAUCAUGCCAAGAUGUUUAUUUUAUGGAAAACUUUAUAUUGUCAACACUUGUGUUAUGUACCAUUGAUGUAUGGCUGUAUUAUUGCUCUGUAAAAAUAAUAAAAAUGUAAGUUCUAAAAAAAA